AACCAGGUGGAGUGACUCUCGUAUCCCUGACCUAUCACAACCCAGGUGGAGUGACUCUCGUAUCCCUGACCUAUCACAACCCAGGUGGACAGGUUGACACAGGACUGUGUCUCUGUCCUGAGGUGGAGGAACGGGGAAUGUGUCAGGUACCUCGGCGGUGUUCAUUAGGGCACAACUGUAGCAAAACAUUCUGCAAUGCAAAACAAUGUGUUCUUAUGAGACGAAUUCAGGUACUGCUCCCCUGUUUUCCCCCAAUUGAACAGGCCCCUCUUGUCUACAGUGGGACAGAAAGGUACAAAGUUGACUAUUUUUUACUGAAUAUAUAUAUAGAUUGAACGAACUGAAUUGAUUUAAAGCUCAAUCCAUUCUUGUGUGUAAAUAGUGGCAGUCAUUUAAAAUCUUCUGUAUUAAUCUGGACGAAUCUCACCACAUACCGUUGAAUCUCAGAUAUUUUAUUAAAUGAUAAAAUAAUCCAGUUUUCAGACUUUUUACUUUUCCUUCAGGACCAUGUUUUAUUUACCAUGUUUGUACAACUGAUCUGCAAGCUCAUCGUCUGGUAUCGCUCAUCGUCUGGUAUCGCUCAUCAUCUGGUAUCACUCAUCGUCUGGUAUCACUCCCCCCUUUUAUAAGUUGAAGCUCAUCGUCUGGUAUCGCUCAUCGUCUGGUAUCGCUCAUGGUCUGGUAUCACUCCCCCCUUUUAUAAGUUGAAGCUCAUCGUCUGGUAUCACUCCCCCCUUUUAUAAGUUGAAGCUCAUCGUCUGGUAUCACUCCCCCUUUUAUAAGUUGAAGCUCAAUUAGCACCUGCCUCCCCUGACCACCGGCUGGAGGGGAAACAUAAUAAACCUAUUGCUUAUGUU